rnacentral:rRNA from 1 species
AACGAAGUGAAUUGAAAUAUCUUAGUAACUUUAGGAAAAGAAAUCAAACGAGAUUGUUAUUUGGUGCAAACUAAAUAACAAGAGCCUAUUAACAAAACUUGUUAAAGUAAAAUGGAUUAAAAUCUGUUUGAAUAUAGGGGAACCUUCCUCUAAGGCUAAAUAUGAUAUAUAAGCGAUAGUGAAAAGUACCGUGAGGUAAAAUUUGAAAUAGUAGUUUUAUAAGCAGCUCGAGUGAAAAUUUAAAUAAGUAAUAAGAGUGUACCUUUUGCAUAAUGGGUCAGCAAGUUAAUUUUAGAUGCAAGCAAUGAUUUCGUGCGCUUUGCGCAUGGAGCUAGCUUAGAUAAACCAAUUAUGAGAAAAUGAAUAAGUAUCUAGAAUUAGACCCGAAGGCUAGUGAUCUUACCAUGGUCAGGAUUAUAAAAGUCCGAACGGGUUAUCGUUGUAUAGAUAUCCGAAGAAUUGUGGUAAGUUAGUGAAAGACAAAACUGACUAGUAUAGCUGGUUUUCCGCGAAACCUAUAUGAGUAGGUAAUUUAACUAACAUCUUAGCAGGUACAGAACUGUGAUCUCGGACAAUAUCUUUUGAUUUUGUCAACAUCGGGGGGUUGUAGUGACUUUACCGGAGAGUAUUUGCACUCGGAAUGGCAAAGAUGAAUGUUGAAUAAUCGGACAUAGUGCGAUAAGGUUGUAUGUCUAAAGGGAAACAGCCCAGAACAAGAGUUAAGGUUCCAAAAUUAUUGUUGAGUGAAAUUAAGGAUGUUUUUUUUAAAAACAAUCAGGAAAUAGGCUUAGAAGCGGCCAUUUUUUGAAGACCUCGUAACAGAGCACUGAUUAAUUAAAUUUAGAAAAAAACACCGAAAAUUUAACGGAUCUAAACAAUAUACCGAAACCUUGUACACAUAUUUAUAAUAUUAAUAUUGUAUAUGUGGGGUAGCGGAACAUUGGAUAAAUAUUAAUUAUUAUUUCUUCUAAGAAGUAAUAAGUAUGGAUUAUUAUUAAAAAUAUUUAUUUAUUAAAGAUAUUUAUGUAAUAUUAUUAUACCUAAAAGGUAUAAUGUUUAGAUGAAUAUAUAGAUAGAUUAUAUCUGUCUUUAUUAUUAAUAUAAUCCAUCGAUAUAAUCCAAGAGAGAAUGCUGACAUGAGUAACGAAAAAGGAAUAUCCUCGCCUUAAGCUUAUGGUAUUAUAUUUAAUUUUCGGUAUCUAAAAGUAUUAAUCAAAAGGUAAUUUUGAUGAUAUUUAUAUAUAAAUACUUAAAAAUAAAAAACAAAACCUUUAACAAGUAAUAAAGGUUCUGGAAAAUUUUUUAUUUUUAUUAAGUGAAGUAUAAUGCAAUAUAGGUAUAUUAUAAUUUAUAUAAUUUUCUUGUUACAAGUUUUCAAGAUUGUAUAGAUUUUAUCUAUAUUAAAUAUAUUUUCUUUUUUAUACUAUUGUAUAAGUAAGGUUUAUAUAUACCGUACCUAGAUACUAUCACAAGUAAGCAAGUAGAGAAUACAAAGGCGUUUGAGUGAACAAUCAUUAAGGAACUCGGCAAAUUGACUACCGUAACUUCGGGAUAAGGAGGGCCAUUAUGAUUAGUUUAACAUAUCUUAUGAUAUGAUUUAAUUAAACUAAUCAUAAGAGGAAACAUGAAAUAAUGUUGUACGACUGUUUAAUAAAAACACAGCACUCUGCAAAGAUAAAAUAUCAAAGUAUUGAGUGUGAUGUCUGCCCAAUGUCGGCUGGGUAACGGAUUUACCUUGGUUUUUAACUGAGGUUUUGAAGGAUACCCCGAUUAAUGGCGGCCUUACCUAUGAGGGUCCUAAGGUAGCGAAAUACCUUGGCCGUUAAAUGCGGUCCUGCAUGAAUGACUUAACGAUACAACAGCUGUCUCGAUGAUUGUCUCAGUGAAAUUGGAAUAGCAGUGCAGAUACUGUUUACCUCUAGAUAGACGAGAAGACCCUAUGCAGCUUUACUGUUACUAAUUGCAAGAGUGGAAAUUUAGGAUGAUUUCGAGUGUAUAAGGUAGUUGUUUGAUAACAAUGAAACACCUUUAUUCGUUUCCUACUAUAUGCUCUUGAGGAUUGGGAGGCAGUUUAUGCGGGGCACAGAUCCCACAAAAAGUACCUGGGUAUAUCCAAAGUUCAUUUUGUAAAUUUGUAAAUUUCUUUACAAAUAUUUUAAUUUGUUAUAAUUAUAUUCAUAAUUAUACAGUUAUUGUUAGAUUAAGUUCAAUAUUUAUUUUUUAUUUAAGUAAGAUUUUAACUAUAUGGUGAAUAGAUGUAUUUUAAACUUUACCCGGGGAGGGAGUGAUCCAACUCCGGGAUAUUUAAAAGUUUUUUCUCAUAUUAAUAUUGUAUUUUAUCUUUAUUGAUAUGAUAAUUAAUUAUACUUUAAAAGUUUAAUGGCUAAAUCUUGCUUUACUGUUUGACCUACAAGUCUAUCAGUCGCGUAAGCGGGGCAUAUGAUCACAAGAUGCAUAAAGGAAAGGUCUUGGAUUAUAGAAAAAGUUACGCUAGGGAUAACAGGCUAAUUUGCGCAAGAGAGUACAAAUUGAGUGCGCGGUUUGGCACCUCGAUGUCGGCUUAGCUCAUCCACAUGAAUGCAAAAAUCAUGAAGGGUUCGACUGUUCGUCGAUUAAAGAGCUACAUGAGCUGGGUUUAAUACGUCGUGAGACAGUAUGGUUUCUAUCUUCUAGAGGGAAUUAAAGUAGAAUAAAGAUAGCCCCUUCGUACGAAAGGAGUUGGGUAUAUUGACCUAUGGUUUACCUGUUGUUUAUGUUAUAUAUUAUUAUACAUAAUAUAUCAUUUACUUAUACUUAAGUAAAUUGUUCACAUAGGCAUGGCAGGAAGGCUACGUCAGUUAAAGAUAAGUGCUGAAAGCAUUUAAGCGCGAAGCUUACUUUAGGAUACUUUUAAACGUAGUAGAACACUACGA